rnacentral:rRNA from 1 species
UACGUAGGUCCCGAGCGUUGUCCGGAUUUAUUGGGCGUAAAGCGAGCGCAGGUGGUUUAUUAAGUCCGGUGUAAAAGGCAGUGGCUCAACCAUUGUAUGCAUUGGAAACUGGUAGACUUGAGUGCAGGAGAGGAGAGUGGAAUUCCAUGUGUAGCGGUGAAAUGCGUAGAUAUAUGGAGGAACACCGGUGGCGAAAGCGGCUCUCUGGCCUGUAACUGACACUAAGGCUCGAAAGCGUGGGGAGCAAACAGG